CCCCCUAUGUUUCCACCUUCAGGUUUUAGGAUGAAGAACAAGCGCAAAAAUGGGAAAAAUAUGGGAGAAGCCUCAGUUGUUUAUUAACGUGUAUCCUCCAUUUAUGAUCCAUUCCUGGCUUUAAAAAAGCAUAUAAAAAACUGAAUGUGGAAACACACCCAAAAACACGUUUUAAAAGGUUGCAGUGCGGCCCUAGACAUCACUAGUCAGGUGAUCAGAGGGAGCCAGUCUUUGCUUCAAUGGGUGGAACGACCGCUUGGUGGGAGAUGAUUUUACAAGAAUUUGCAACGGCUGGAGUCACCCUGGUCAGAAAACACUUGUCUAUUGCAUUGAAGGCAGCACAGAUUUUCAGACUUUUUUUGGACCUAACAAUGGACUAGAAGACACUGACAUUACGUCUCCGACCGAAUACAUGGUUACAUACGAUUUGAAUGUUAGGAUUGGAUCCAGCCCCUCCAUAUAAACUAUAGAUUCCUGCUAAUUGGAUGACAGUGACUCAGCAGGAAAUUCUCACUGCAUGCGACUUGUGCAGGUCGCACUUCACCAAAUAUAAAUGGAAGAUUAGUUCCGGUGUGGAGAGCACUUCACUGCUAAAAGGUUAUGUCACCUCGGGAUAAGAAGAACAGGAUUAUCCCGCUGCGGCUGUGAAGAGAACCAGGUGACCUCCGAUCCAGUUCUGCAAAUCGACAGACGAUCCCUGAGACCAUCUUCCAGGUAGCGUUGCUAAGCACCUGUGACGUCACCUACAACUCAGUUUUUCAGAGGCCCGCACCUGUUCUUCUGCUGAGAUACCACCCACAGCGAAUAACAUCCGAAAGCGCCUAUUUCUCCAACUGGCCCGUGGCAGGCGGACCGCCGCUGAGACGCAUGCCAGCGUCUGGUACCAUCUCAAAAGUGUGGAUCUCAACUUCUGAAAGCGGCUAAUUUUCCAACUGGCCCGUGGCAGGCGGACCGCCGCUAAGACGCAUGCCAGCGUCUGCUACCAUCUUAAAAGUGCGGACCUCACAACAUAAGUCCAGGUGACAAGUAUAUUGCAGACUGGUAAUUAUAAAUUCACCCCAUUCACCUAUAUUGUUAUGGAAUUUACAACAUUUAUAGGACUUGAGCUCACUUUCCAGAUCAACGGAGGCCGGAUCAUCCAAAGGGACAUUAAAAUUGUUACAUUCCUAUACAUUUUCUAUGCAAGUUAUCGGUGUUUGUUGAUAUUG